GAGAAUCAUCGAUCAGCUGCCUCUUGCACACCCCCUACUGGGGAUGUGCCCGCAACCAAGGUACAUGCCCUUGACCAGAAUCGAACCAGGGACUCUUCAGUCCGCAAGCCAAUGCCCUAUCCAGCGAGCCAGACCAGUCAGG